rnacentral:rRNA from 1 species
UACGGGGGGGGCAAGCGUUGUUCGGAAUUACUGGGCGUAAAGGGCUCGUAGGCGGCCAACUAAGUCGGACGUGAAAUCCCUCGGCUUAACCGGGGAACUGCGUCCGAUACUGGAUGGCUUGAGUAUGGGAGAGGGAUGCGGAAUUCCAGGUGUAGCGGUGAAAUGCGUAGAUAUUGGGAGGAACACCAGUGGCGAAGGCGGCUCACUGGACUGGUACUGACGCUGAGGCGCGAAAGCGUGGGGAGCAAACAGGG